rnacentral:rRNA from 1 species
GACGAACGCUGGCGGCGUGCCUAAUACAUGCAAGUAGAACGCUGAAGGAGGAGCUUGCUUCUCUGGAUGAGUUGCGAACGGGUGAGUAACGCGUAGGUAACCUGCCUGGUAGCGGGGGAUAACUAUUGGAAACGAUAGCUAAUACCGCAUAAUAGUAGAUGUUGCAUGACAUUUACUUAAAAGGUGCAAUUGCAUCACUACCAGAUGGACCUGCGUUGUAUUAGCUAGUUGGUGGGGUAACGGCUCACCAAGGCGACGAUACAUAGCCGACCUGAGAGGGUGAUCGGCCACACUGGGACUGAGACACGGCCCAGACUCCUACGGGAGGCAGCAGUAGGGAAUCUUCGGCAAUGGACGGAAGUCUGACCGAGCAACGCCGCGUGAGUGAAGAAGGUUUUCGGAUCGUAAAGCUCUGUUGUAAGAGAAGAACGAGUGUGAGAGUGGAAAGUUCACACU